rnacentral:ncRNA from 2 species
UUCUUAUCCAGAGAGGUGGAGGGACUGGCCCUUUGAAACCUCAGCAGCAGGUCUAUGAAGACACUGUGCUAAUUCCAGCGGGUGAAUGAACCUGAUAGAUAAGCA